rnacentral:lncRNA from 1 species
UUCUCUAAGGAAUGGCAGUGUUGACAAAUACUAAGCCAUGCCCUUUCCAUGAUGUACAUGUCAAUAAUUUCUGCUUGACUGAGACUAAUUAAAGCAGAAAUAAUAACUUGGAUAAAUACAGAAACAUGGAAUUUAAAACAACUGGUACCACACAAAAGACUCCAUCUCUCCUUUUUUGUUCUCCCCAGAAUAAGGAGGGGAUCAUCUGACUGAGCUGUCUUCCAGCUCUGUGAUAAAUUAUUCUGAGAUGAUCAGAGCUCUUAUACCCAUGCUUGCUCCAAGCAAUCCCAAUUGUAUUUCCUGUUUAUGUAGUUCGUUUUUAUUUCUUAUCUUAAAUAUAUUACCAAAACAAAACAACAACAACAACAACAAAAACCUCUCCUUUUGAAGACCAUCCCAGACGUAUCCUACUUCAUUUACAAAUGGUUAACUUUGUGUUUAAAUUUCAUCUCCCAGAGAAGAGCUAUUAACAUCCACUUGGUUGUCAGGGCCCCUCUUCCAUUAGCAGGUCAUUAAUAAUCAAGUUAGUAAUAACAGGCUGACACUGUAUUUUGUAGAAUUCAAUAUGUACAACCAGGCUCAUAGUAACUCAUUGAUAAGUGCAGAUUUCAUUCAUUUUGAGUAAAAUAGAUUUUUUAAAAUGUCGAUAUGAUUAGGCGGUGAGAAUUGGCAAAAUUGAACCAGUAGAAAAUCUGAAUGAAUGAAUGAAUCUGAAUAAACUGAUUUUUAUUUCCUAGGAAUAACAAGUUUUAAGUAUCUAUUAUGUGCCAGACUUUAUUCUAAGUGUUUUAUAUAUAACACAUUUACUUUAGUGAUGGUUAAGGUAGGACAGGUGGCUAAAAAAGGACUCCCUAAUAUAUUCUAUUAAUGCAAUGAAGCCUCUAGGAGUCCUUAAUCUUUGCCAAGGAUCACAAGCUCACAUGCCUCCAGAAUCUGGGCCACUCACAUAAAUAAAUGAACAGAGCUGAGUAUGAAACAAUAGGAAAGAAAGGAGACUGUGUAGAACAGGAGAGUUCAGGCUCCAACUGGUCAUUGCCCAGAAAUCUUCAUGUAAAUGUGGUAUUCCCCUCUUGUUUCUAAAACACUGGACAGGCUAAACAAAAUGCAUCUGAGAGAUACAUGUGCCUCCCUUGCCCCUACUCAUGGCCUUUGCAUUUGUAUACAUCACACACUCCUGUCCUGUUAAAGGCAACCUCCUAUUAUGUACAGUGGGAGACCCUGGCUUUGGAAUGCCUCAUGUAGGAGCUGAGUGACCUCUCUGACUAGGGAUUCAGUUUCCUUUGGUUUGCUCCUCUGGCAAUCCUAGCCCUCACCCUAAGCUACCUAGAGGCCCCUAGCCACCAGCCAUCUCCUUGGCACACGAAAAGACAUUCAUCACACAGAGAUCCUAAGGGUGUUAGAAGCUCUUGUGUCAGGAACUAAGGACAACUAUUAUAAUAAAAGAUACUCUUAUCACUCCAAUCAUUCAAGAAAUUACAAGGGUUUUAGAAAUUCUGGGUUAGAAACCAGGGAAAGAGACAAAAUACAUAUUUCUUAUUAUGUUACAAAUACUAUUGGUAUUCAUCAUUUUACAAAUUAAAACAGAAUGGGGUGGUCAAACUGCUAAUGGGGGCCCUGAUCACAAAGCCAGCAGAAAGAAGCAGUAGAAUAGAUCCUAAAAGAAGGGAGGAAGGUCCCUUGGAAUGAAUGUUGUCUGUACCCAAGGCAGGCAUUAUACAGAAGUAAACCAAAAAUGUGUCUAAGACAGGUCUCAAUCAAUUUAGAGGUUUACUUUGCCAAGGUUGAGGACACACCUGGGAAAAAGAGACACAAGCUAUUGUAGGAUCUGUGGCCAGCACUUUUUCCAAGGAGAGUUUUGCGGGCUUCAGUAGUUAAGGGAGAAAAAGCAGACAAGAAGGGAAGGAGGAAGGGAAAUAAAGGGAAGGGUAGAAAAAUGAGAGAGUGGUUAUAUUCUUUUGAGGCUUUGAUUAGUGCUCACUGAAUCCGUGUGUUGCAUGUGAAAAUCAGGGGGUAGAGGAAUAGUUUUCAUCUUGUGCUCAGUCUGUACGUUCCAUAAGAUAAUCUUAUAGUAGUGGAAGAAAUCAAACAUACAUUUAUCUCGGGGUGGGCAGAUGGGUGAUUUCUAGUUUCCUCUCAUCCCAUACUCAUGAAGGUAAGCUGUUAAUUUACAUUGUCAGGGUAAGGAAGCCACUUGGGGAGAUACCUGGCAUUCUAUCAUGUAGCUAUCUGUUUAGGAGCAAAAGGAAAGGCAGGGUUGUUUUGCAUGACUCAGUUUCCAAUCUUAACUCUUCCUUGUGGCAUAGUAUGUUUAGUGUACCAAGAUUUUAUUUUCCUUUAACACAAGAUAGUUUAAAAAGGUUCCCAACCAAAACUGGCUAACCAUGUGUAGAAAGCUGAAACUGGAUCCCUUCCUUACACUUUAUACAAAAAUUAAUUCAAGAUGGAUUAAAGACUUAAAUGUUAGACCUAAAACCAUAAAAAACCUAGAAGAAAACCUAGGCAAUACCAUUCAGGACAUAGGCAUGUCAUGACUAAAACACCAAAAGCAACGGCAAGAGAAGCCAAAAUUGACAAAUGGAAUCUAAUUAAACUAAAGAGCUUCUGCACAGUAAAAGAAACUACUAUCAGAGUGAACAGGCAACCUACAGAAUGAGAGAAAAUUUUUACAAUCUACCCAUCUGACAAAGGGCUAAUAUCCAGAAUCUACAAAGAACUUAAACAAAUUUAUAAGAAAAAAUCAAACAACCCCAUCAAAAAGUGGGCGAAGGACAUGAACAGACACUUCUCAAAAGAAGACAUUUAUGCAGCCAACAGACACAUGAAAAAAUGCUCAUCAUCACUGGCCAUCAGAGAAAUGCAAAUCAAAACCACAAUGAUAUACCAUCUCACACCAGUUAGAAUGGCGAUCAUUAAAAAGUCAGGAAACAACAGGUGCUGGAGAGGAUGUGGAGAAAUAGGAACAAUUUUACCCUGUUGGUGGGACUGUAAACUGGUUCAACCAUUGUGGAAGUCAGUGUGGUGAUUCUUCAAGGAUCUAGAACUAGAAAUACCAUUUGACCCAGCCAUCCCAUUACUGAGUAUAUACCCAAAGGAUUAUAAAUCAUGCUGCUAUAAAGACACAUGCACACAUAUGUUUACUGCAGCACUAUUCAAAUAGCAAAGACUUGGAACCAAUCCAAAUGUCCAUCAAUGAUAGACUGGAUUAAGAAAAUGUGGCACAUAUACACCAUGGAAUACUAUGCAGCCAUAAAAAAGGUUGAGUUCAUGUCCUUUGUAGGGACAUGGGUGAAGCUGGAAACCAGGAGUAAGACUGCAGAGGUAUAAGUACUAUCCUCAUCACAUAAUAUCCAGGGCACAUACUAUUAACCCGACUUAUCACAGAUGACAUUAACCUUGAUCAUCUGGCUUUAGAAGUAUUUGGUUUCUCCACUGAAAAGUUGUUUUUUGUUCCCAGUUUUCCAUACUGUAUUCUUCAGAAGGAAGCAAUUAUGCACAUCUUACACUUAAAUAUAGAGAGUUACCUCCACCUCUUUGAGGUGAGAGUAUUUACUAAAUGAUUUGAAAUUCUUCUGUACAGGAGAUUUGUCUAUUUUCCCUUAUUUAUUCAAUAACUUACUCCUAUUAGUAGGGAGAUGGAUAUUUCUUUUUACUUUGGGCUAUAAUCCAAUACUACAUUAUUUAUUUUGUUGCUGAAAUUGUUUCAGAUUUGUCCAUUGGGAGCUCUUUCAUUUAGAUCUUGUGUCCCUUUGCCAUACCUCCACUAUUACGGUUUUUUGAGCAUUUUCUUACUCUAUGACACUGUAAGUCACUCCAGGGUCAUCUUGUAUAUCCCUGCCCCAGCCAUUUCUUCAAGGACUGCUGUGUUCCUCCAGUGGAGAAUAGUAUUAGAAACUAAAAUCUGAGUGCUGGUGUCCCUAUUUGUUUUCACACUGUCAUUAUAUUUUCCUUUAAUUCUUUGAAUGUAUUUAUAAUAAUUAUUUGGCAUCUUUGCUGAUGCCAACAUUUGGACCUACUAGAUUUCAUUUCUAAUGACUGCUUGCUUUUUCCCUGAGUAAGGCUCACACUUUCCUAUUUCUUUGAAUGUCUCAAUUUUUUGUUGUUGAAAAUUAAAUUGUGAUAAUUUUAAUAAUUAAAUUAUAACAAUAUACUAUAGCAAAUCUGGAUUCUGAUUUCCCCCCAUGGAAAUUUUUCUAAAACUCACCUGGAUUUAAUUUAUGGAAUCCAUCUCUGCAAUGGUGUGAAGCCAUUGAUGUCUCUGCUUAGAUAUUUUACUCUUAUUUUUACUUUUCAUCUGACUUGUUAGGAGGUUGCUCCCAAGUCUGCAUAGUAUCUCUUGCUUAUUAUUCAGGCAGUGAUGGAGAAGAUGCUGUCCUUAAAAAGUUCCAUCCCUAAGGCAUCCACCUCUCCCAGUGGACCUGUGUGCAGGUUGGGAAGUGUAUUACAAGUUCAGGCUUUUAUGAAUUCUGUCUCAGCUUCUCCCUUCUACCAGGACUCUCAGAUCUCCCUUGCACAUGUCAGUAAUUUUCCAGUUAGGCAGAGACAUAUGAAGGGCUCAUACAUUCCUUCUCUGACUUUCUUUAGUAUCUCCGUGUUAAACUCAUGGCUGGUCCACCACUCUCACCAACUGGGACUGCAAUCUUUUGCUAGCAGAGCUGUGGAUUUUCUCUUUUAUUUUCUACCAAAGGUAUUACUUUUAUUGACAGUGCUGACAGGUAUGGAUUUUCCUUUUUGCUCCAAAUUGAGUCAGCCUCCCAUGGCAAGGAAGCUGCUGUUUGUCAUGGUUCACCCAAUUCUGAUACUACCAUAGCACAAAGUGAGCUGAGGUAGCAGAUGUAGAUGGGUAUAGCCCCAACCAAAAAGGCUGAAGGUUUCUACCGUUCUUUCCUAAAUUUCUGGGUUUCUUUUUUUCAUGAAUAAACACCUUUCAAUUUUUCAUUUGCCUUUGCUUUAGUCAAUUUUCAGAGCACUUAUAUGGUUUUAUGGGUUUUUUUUAAACAGAUUUAUGUUUUUUGUUGGGGAGAAUAUUAGCGUAUCUCUUCACUUCACUAUAGCUAGAAGUCUGUCUCCUGCAAUUUCUCAAUAAUUAUUUAUUUUAAUAAAACAAUUAUAGUCUCAUUUAGCAUAUAGCACUAACAGAUAUGGACUCGGUAAAUGCAUUGUCCUGUUAGCACUAGAUACCAGAAACCUAAUUAUCUGAUAUUUUACAGAAUAAGUGACUUCUGCAUGGGAAACUUAGGAAAAGAGGUAGUGGGUGUGCAAAAGAAAUGUCUUCUCUAAUUUUUUUCAGUCUCAAUCUAGUUAGUAAUUUCCUUGUUAUAUUCCAGAUAAGCAUCUGACAAGAGAAGCCCACACUCCUCCACUGGUUCACCAAGAGUUUCUAAACCCCUAGUCAGUUACUCCUUUUCAGGGUUGUCGAAAAGGGCACUCUAAAUCAAUCUUAUGUCUGAGCCAAAGAAAAGUCACAGAAUGGAUAAUUGGGGUCCUGUCCUCUAAUGGGGAAAUCCAGAGGCUCUAAGAUUUUGCAUAUCAAAAACACUUUUCUAUUUUUUAAAAAUUAGAAUUUUUACUUUGUCAAUUAAGACAUUUUUUAAAAAUAGCCAUACUGGCCAUCAACCAUCAUCAUCAUUAUGAUAGCAGAAAGACAUCCUCUCACCCCUAAACAGGGAAAGUUUGCUAGCUAACAAUGUUUGUAAUUUAAACAUUUUUUUCUAUAUGACGGGAUUUUUAGUUUCAAGUAUUAUACAUCACUAGGAGGGGCAUAGUAACAUAUCUGGGGAUUUCACAGCCUGGGCUGAUGCCUCAAUACGCUGCCAGAUGGCUCCAUCUGAGCCCAUCCUGCCCCUGAGGGGUACAGGCAUUGCAGUUUACAUUUCAGACGCUAGGCAAACUACUCACCAGGCCAUCAGCUGCAGCUCCCUUUAAAACAGGAUUUCUUAGUCAUACUUCUGUCUUAUCCUGGGUUUCCUAGAAAACAGAACCUAAGGAAGAGCUUGCAUGCUGAUGCUUUAGGGGUUGGUGUAAUCCCAGAGAAGCAAAAAUAAAUAAGAAAGGGAAGAAAAACAGGAAAGAAGUACAUUACUGAUCUGGCUGCAAUUUCACACACAAGAAAACUCAGCUAGUUAUUUAGAUGUGUAGGAUGUCUCCAGAGAGGUUGUCAACAAUCCCUGUGUCUUACAAAAUUCUUUGGUGGCAGGGAAGAUGGUUGAUUUAUCUGCUGGUUCCUUCUUUGGUUAAAGGUUGUCUCAUGAGAUACUGGGGCUUUGCUACCUGUACCUUCCAGGUAGCCACUAGGAAGCCAGAGUUGCCAUGGGUCUGGUAGGUUUGAGUCCUGGAGCUGUUGCAGCACUCACCAAGGUGGGUAAUGGAACACAUGCUGCACUCUGCAAAGGAUCAGGGUGUGACCUGAUGGACCCUCGCUUCCUGUACAUCGCUAUGUUCACCAACCAGGAAGCUUCCUGAGCCCAUUCUUCAGAGUUUUUAUCUAGGUCUCAUUAUGUAGGCACAAUUGAUGAAAUCACUGGCCAUGUUGUUGAACUCAACCUCCAGCCAUCCUCUCACACUUCCAAUCUGUCAUUAGUUUUCCUGGAAACUAGCCUUCAUCUUGAAGCUAUGCAACCCCUUUCCUUACUCCCCCUAAGAGUUAUCUCAUUAGUAUAAACUCUGGUGUGAUCCUUAGGGGCUCAUUAUUACUAACAAAGGACCCUCCUAUCUCUCAGGAAAUUCCAAGGGGGUUUGAAGCUCUAUGUCAAAUACUAGGAGAAAAGACCAAAUUCUUUUUCAAAUCACAACACAACUGAGUGAAUCUAGGGAGAAUAUAUAAACCAUGUCCAGUACGAUUGCUAAAUGGCUUUCCAUGACACCUGCUUCUUCACGGUAGUUGCUUACAAAUAGAAAUCACAAAGUACCUCUAGGUGUAUGAAGACAAGUACUCAAAAAUUAACAAAUUACCCCAGGAUGAGACAUUUUUGCAAACGUGUUAAUUGUUCACUACACUGUGAACCACUAAAUUUUUAUUAUAGAGGAGCCCAAUACUGCUUUUUGAAAAAGAUCAUUAGAUUAAAAAUUUUUUCUAGAAAUCAUUUUGUAGUCCCUGUUAUAGAGCAUGAUCCUUUUUUGUGUCAUUAUCAAAAUGUAUUUCAUGCCUUUGGAUGGGAUUGCAAUGCAGUUGACAUUUCCUUAGACCUAAAGUUUAAAUUACCUGAAGAAAAAGAAUAAUACUAUUAAUUUGUUAGUCUAAGUGUAGACUAACAAUCUCUGCACUUAAGGGAAGAAAGGGAGUAUAAACAAAAUAAAUAAAUAAAGUAAUUUGUAUCUAAAUAUUAAGCCCAUAUUCCAUGGUAAUUUAGUCAGUAUCUAAUAGGCGUCAGCAAUUUUAUUAUAUGUUAUCCUAACAAAUACAGUAAUUCUGGGAGAUAGGAAUCUUUAUUCUAAUUUUAUAAGUGACAGAAUUGAAGCUCUGAGGUUAAAAAAUUGAUCACGUAGAUGCUGCAUGGAAAAACAGAAUUAAAAUCCAGGACAAGCAACUUCAAGGUUGGUCAUCUGUUUCUUCUAUCUCUGCUGCUUUUUAACAUGUAAAGUAGCUUUUCAAUACUCCAGGAAUCUAAAGUUUUGAAGCUCCCUUAUGUUUUUUACAGAAUCAAUAAAAUACUCUCAAGAGGAAAAUAAUCCUCCCAAAAGCUGUGACUUUUUCAGGAGGCUAAAGAAGUACUCCUUCCCCGAGUUUAGAGCAGAAUGGUUCCAAACACCUCUUUCCUUCUGACUUGCACUUGUUGAACUGUUACCUUUCUUGUUCUCAUCAGCAUUCAUAUAGAAACAUUUACUAAUCUUAGCCAUAUUCUGGGCUUUGUACCAAAUAAUUCUCAUUAAAUCUUUCUUUUCCAGUUCAUUUUGGCCCCUGCCCACAUGCUACUUUAUGGGAAGAUUGAAUUGUUUAGGAUGUGUUUUGCUCAUCAAUUAGAUGGUAUGGUCCUGGAGAGAAUGGACUUAUUUUGUUACCAGUGUUAGCCAACAGCUCGCAUUUAACUGAUGCUUUUUGAAUGGAAAUUCAGACCAUUCAAUGAAUGCCGGGAAGCAAUGGCCUCAUCUGGGAAUGAUCUGUGUAUUGCCGUCUUCCUCACACAGUGAAUCUCUUUCAUGCCAUUUCCUCAACAUGAAGAUGGAGUCACUUGUCAAUAAUGCAAAUAACAGGAAGGUGUUUGGUGAAAGAAAGGGUGCAAACAGGGUCACAAGUGAACUCUUUUGACUUGGAAUAAGUAGGCAAUUUGGGCCUACAAUAAUGGGAAGGUGGUUUGGCACUGGAAACAUAUUGCUUUCAGCGUAACUGUCCCUCUCACAAGAGAACAGAAGGAACAUUGUAAUUAAUGAGUUCUUUCGAAGAAAACAAAUGUAAAGAAUUUAUCAGAGCACCUUAAUGUUGCUUGUGGCUGCAUCUGUGAAAAACAAGGAACAGGUUUUUCUCCUGGCACUUGUCAGGGGUUAGUUGCUUUCAGCUUCUUUUUGACUUUCUCUACAACAAUGUUGAUCAUAACCAUUUUGGUUCUUGAGUGUGCACACUAUCUAAAAGCAAUCUCUAACUCUUACAAGGCUCUUAUUACCCAAAAUGGUUAUAUGUAAGGUGAAAGCUGCUCCCAGGGUAAUUUUAAUUGGGGUGUCCAGCUUAGAAUUGCCUAGCACUAAUGUGGAAGUGGGGAGCAUAGUGUGGAAUAGAUGCAAUGGCUGCAAGGUCAAGGCUUUUGGGCUGAACACACAGGAAGACACCUGGCAAGGCAAAGGAUGGUUUCAACAUCUCCAUGGAAACAGAGCUCAGGUCCACUUGGUCUACACAUCACCUUUGAAAAGCAAAGAUAACAAAGCAAGGCCAGUGAUUUUUCUCAGUAAAUAUGAGAAUUCAAAAAUCUGUUUGAGGGAGCCAAGCCAAUUCAAUGAGGAAAGAAUAAUCUUUUUAACAAAUGGUGCUGGGACAACUAGAUAUCUACAUGCAACAGAACAAAGCUAGGUUUCUCCUCAGAACAAACAUAAGAAUAAAAAUGUAGGAGUAAAUCUUUAGGACCCUGGAUUAGAAAAAGCCUUCUCAAAUAUGACAUCCAAAGCACAAGAAACAAAAGAAAAGAGAGAUAAACUGUACUUCAUGAAAAUAAAAUAAUUUUGCUUCAAAGGAAACCACCAAGAAAGUGAACAAGCAACCCAAAGAAUGGGAGAAAAUAUUUGCUAUUACAGCUCAAUAAUAAAAAGUCAAGUAACCCAAUUUUAAAAUGCACAAAGGAUCUGAAGAGAUAUUUUUUCCAAAGAAGAUGUACAAAUGGCCAAUAAGCACAUAAAAAGAUGCUCAACAUCAUUAGCCAUCAGGAAAAUACAAAUCAAAACCACAGUAAGAAACCACUUCGCCUGCACUAGGAUGGCUAUAAUCAGACAGAUAGAUGAUAAGUGUUGGUGAAGAUCUGGAGAAAUUAGAACUGUCAUCUCUUGCUGGUGGGAAUGUAAGCUGAGCAGCUGCUUUGGAAACAUUGUGGCCGAUCCUCAAAUAAUUAAAUAUAGAAUUUCCUUAAAACCCAGAAAUUGUUCCUGUAUGUAUACCCAAGAGAAAUGAAAACAUACAACCACCCAAAAAUGUGUACACAAAUGUUCAUAGUAGCAUUGUUUAUAGUAGGCAAAAAGUGGAAAUAACCCAAAUGUUCAUCAAUGAAUGAAUGGAUAAAUAAAAGAUUAUAUAUCCUACAAUGGAAUAUUAUUCAGCAAGAAAAAGAAAUGAAGUAUUGACACAUGCUACAUGUGUCAAUGUAUCUAGAUGAAUCUAGAAAAUAUGCAAGUGAAAGAAACCAGUCCAAAAAGACCACAUAUUAUAUGACUCAAUUUAUUUGAAAUAUCCAUAAAGGUAAAUCUGUAGAGACAAAAAGUAGAUUAGUCGUUGCCUAGGGCUGAGCAAGAGGGGUAGAGAGACUAUAGGGAGUAACUGCUAAAGGAUAUGAGGGUGAAGGGGUGAUGAAAAUAUUCUAGAUUCUGGUAAUAAUGUAAUUGUGGUAAGGGUUGCACUAUUCUGUGAAUGUACUAAAAAACGUGCUGCACACAUCAAAUGAGUCAAUUGUAUGUUAUGCAAAUUAUAUC